CCUCCUUUAGGCAAGGCAUCAGAGGGGCAGUGGAGUGGGUUGUGAAGAACAUAGAUACUGGAGCCAGACAGCCGGGCUGCGAGACUUUGGACUGAACUUAGUGCCCGGUGUCCACAUAUGUAAGAUUGGGUGAUGUCAGUGCUCACCUCACAGGAUCGUCAUGAGGAUAAAGUGACUUAGUAUACGAGGCAAAAAUUUGGUUCACGUGCCUCCAAACUGAAUAGGUUCUGCCAAUGGUGAAGGAAAAGGAAUUUCUCCUCCCCAGAGGCAGUAUUUCUCUCUGUCCUCUCAGCAAUGCCAAGGGGCUCCAGGAGGAGGAGAUUAGUAGGACCAUGUUUUAUGUAUCUGGACAUAUGCCUCCAAAAUAGCAAUUGCAUAUUUCUUUCAUUUUAUUUUGUGCGGAAACAAAGAAUGCAGUGUUUUACAACUCAGAUUAAAGCUAAAAAUCACAUCAAGCUGUCUGAUUUUCUAGGAAUGAGAAGUGGGAGAGGGUCGUUAUUAUGGCGUAGCUGCAAACUAACUUUUCAACAUCAGAAAAACUUUACAGCGUGAAAGAAAAAUGUAUAUGUUGAGAAGAAACAUAAAUGUUGAAACACAUUGUUACUAUAAAUCCUGAGUCUGAGACACAAUUCAUAAUGCUGCUUUACUAAUAGUACAAUUUUAAACCUACUUAAGCUGGGAAAUUUGUUAUCAGGUGACUCAUACAUGUGGGGAAAUCCAGUUC